rnacentral:rRNA from 1 species
UUGCCUUUAGUUGCCAGCAGUUCGGCUGGGCACUCUAAAGGGACUGCCGGUGUUAAACCGGAGGAAGGUGGGGAUGACGUCAAGUCCUCAUGGCCUUUAUGACCAGGGCUACACACGUACUACAAUGGCCGAUACAAAGGGCAGCGACACUGCGAGGUGAAGCCAAUCCCGUAAAAUCGGUCUCAGUCCGGAUUGGAGUCUGCAACUCGACUCCAUGAAGUUGGAAUCGCUAGUAAUCGUGGAUCAGCAUGCCACGGUGAAUACGUUCCUGGGCCUU